rnacentral:lncRNA from 1 species
GGGUACAUUCGGGUAUUGGAUUCGGUUCGGGUUCGGUUCGGGUUUUUUUCGGGUAGGAGGUUAGGACCCAUUCGGGUAUUUUUAAAAAUCGGGUUCGGGUUCGGUUCGGGUAUUGUUCGAGUUUUUCGGUUCGGGUAUUCGGUUCCGGGUAUUUUGCCCAGGCCUACAUGAGGAGGUCAUCAUAUUUUUGGUUUCCCGAGCAGCGAAGAAGUGUUAUCUUGUUUCGAAUUGUUUUCCCUAUCAUUUGGCCAAGGCGAGGAGCUGGGAUGUGAGCU